AUUGAACGCUGGCGGCAUGCUUUACACAUGCAAGUCGAACGGUAACAGGCCGCAAGGUGCUGACGAGUGGCGAACGGGUGAGUAAUGCAUCGGAACGUGCCCAGUCGUGGGGGAUAACGCCGCGAAAGCUGCGCCAAUACCGCAUACGAUCUAUGGAUGAAAGCGGGGGACCGUAAGGCCUCGCGCGAUUUGAGCGGCCGAGGUCAGAUUAGGUAGUUGGUGGGGUAAAGGCUCACCAAGCCAACGAUCUGUAGCUGGUCUGAGAGGAAGACCAGCCACACUGGGACUGAGACACGGCCCAGACUCCUACGGGAGGCAGCAGUGGGGAAUUUUGGACAAUGGGCGCAAGCCUGAUCCAGCAAUGCCGCGUGCAGGAAGAAGGCCUUCGGGUUGUAAACUGCUUUUGUACGGAACGAAAAGGCUCUGGUUAAUACCUGGGGCUCAUGACGGUACCGUAAGAAUAAGCACCGGCUAACUACGUGCCAGCAGCCGCAGUAAUAC
rnacentral:rRNA from 1 species